UUUUGUGCAUGCAGAUGGGGCAACCCCAAAUAAAUUCACUCAUUAUCCAUAUCAUACACAAGUACAUUAUUAAAAUAAAAAAGCCACCAAAAUACCACCAAACUUAUUAUUAACAAUAUGAAAAAUAUGAAUGGAAAUUUCAACAUAUAAUAUGAACUUGAGGAGCGCCAUUCAUAUUCAACAACAACCAAAAUAAAUCGUAUAAUAUGAAUGGUAAAUUAAUCACAAUAAAGAUACAAGUUCUAGAACUUCAAACUAGCCUGGCAAAAAAGGGAAUUUAAAUAUAAAAUUGCAUACCAAGCAGAUCCAACCAAUAGUAAAGUAAACUUGGAAUGCCAAAAAUAUUCAACAAAAAACCUGAACAACAUAAAACCCAGAAAAUAUUAGGCUAAAUAAGAAAUGGAAGAGAAUAAAAAAGAAAUAUGAAACAAAACCAAGGAAAAAAAUUGUUCCUGAUGGGUGAGGUUUUCAGUGAAACUUAAAUCUGCGAUGAGAUGGGGUUCAAGAUUCGAAUAUACAGCAAUAAGACAUUAUAGCUGGGCUGAGAUGAGAUUGAAGAUCCCGCACGCAGUUUGCAUCAAGCCUUUGUCACUGUUGAGAGAGAGGAGAGCUUAUCAAUCUGUAUAUGGGAGGAAGACUCAGUCACUGCCAUGAAGAAAUAGAGGAGUCGAUGUUUUAGAUGGGUUGUUGGUCACCGUCGACAAAGUGAUAAAAGAGAGGGAGCUUUUCUGUUUUUGAAAAAAAAUCUCAAAUGAGAUGAGGGAUUAGGGUUGAGAUGGAGAGAUGCUAUGGUGUAGAGGAGAAAGGCCCAUCAUAAUCUUUUCUUUUUCUUUUUCUUUCUUUUUAAAAAAUAAAAUAUAUAAUAUUUACCUGCUACCUGUUGGGGCAGUUUAAAAAAAGUGGUGCAUUGGUGCGCCGAGUGCACCAUAGACGUUGCCCAAGUGUUGAC
rnacentral:lncRNA from 1 species